rnacentral:rRNA from 1 species
GCCCAGCCGUAAACAAUUAACUCACACCAACUAACGCCAGGGAACUACGAGCCAUGCUUAAAACCCAAAGGACUUGACGGUGUCCCAUCCACCUAGAGGAGCCUGUUCUAUAAUCGAUGAUCCCCGCUAUACCUUACCCCUUUUUGCUUUCUCAGCCUGUAUACCUCCGUCGAAAGCCUACCAUAUGAACGUGUAUAGUAGGCUCAAUGAUUAUAUUUACAUCAAAACGUCAGGUCAAGGUGCAGCUCACGAAUGGUGAGAAAUGGGCUACAGUUUCUAAUAUAGAACAAACGGAAGGUUAUGUGUAACCAUAAUCAUGAAGGCGGAUUUAGUAGUAAGAAGAAAAUAGAGUGUUCUUCUUAACCCGGCUCUGGGACGCGUACACACCGCCCGUCACCCUCUUCAAUGACUUAAACUUAGAUUUAUAACCUCAUAUCUGCAUUUUUAGAAGAGGCAAGUAGUAACAUGGUAAGUGUACUGGAAAGUGCACUUGGCUAACAAAAUGUAGCUUAA